AGAGUUUGAUCAUGGCUCAGAUUGAACGCUGGCGGCAGGCCUAACACAUGCAAGUCGAACGGUAACAGGAAGCAGCUUGCUGCUUUGCUGACGAGUGGCGGACGGGUGAGUAAUGUCUGGGAAACUGCCUGAUGGAGGGGGAUAACUACUGGAAACGGUAGCUAAUACCGCAUAACGUCGCAAGACCAAAGAGGGGGACCUUAGGGCCUCUUGCCAUCGGAUGUGCCCAGAUGGGAUUAGCUAGUAGGUGGGGUAAAGGCUCACCUAGGCGACGAUCCCUAGCUGGUCUGAGAGGAUGACCAGCCACACUGGAACUGAGACACGGUCCAGACUCCUACGGGAGGCAGCAGUGGGGAAUAUUGCACAAUGGGCGCAAGCCUGAUGCAGCCAUGCCGCGUGUAUGAAGAAGGCCUUCGGGUUGUAAAGUACUUUCAGCGGGGAGGAAGGGAGUAAAGUUAAUACCUUUGCUCAUUGACGUUACCCGCAGAAGAAGCACCGGCUAACUCCGUGCCAGCAGCCGCGGUAAUACGGAGGGUGCAAGCGUUAAUCGGAAUUACUGGGCGUAAAGCGCACGCAGGCGGUUUGUUAAGUCAGAUGUGAAAUCCCCGGGCUCAACCUGGGAACUGCAUCUGAUACUGGCAAGCUUGAGUCUCGUAGAGGGGGGUAGAAUUCCAGGUGUAGCGGUGAAAUGCGUAGAGAUCUGGAGGAAUACCGGUGGCGAAGGCGGCCCCCUGGACGAAGACUGACGCUCAGGUGCGAAAGCGUGGGGAGCAAACAGGAUUAGAUACCCUGGUAGUCCACGCCGUAAACGAUGUCGACUUGGAGGUUGUGCCCUUGAGGCGUGGCUUCCGGAGCUAACGCGUUAAGUCGACCGCCUGGGGAGUACGGCCGCAAGGUUAAAACUCAAAUGAAUUGACGGGGGCCCGCACAAGCGGUGGAGCAUGUGGUUUAAUUCGAUGCAACGCGAAGAACCUUACCUGGUCUUGACAUCCACGGAAGUUUUCAGAGAUGAGAAUGUGCCUUCGGGAACCGUGAGACAGGUGCUGCAUGGCUGUCGUCAGCUCGUGUUGUGAAAUGUUGGGUUAAGUCCCGCAACGAGCGCAACCCUUAUCCUUUGUUGCCAGCGGUCCGGCCGGGAACUCAAAGGAGACUGCCAGUGAUAAACUGGAGGAAGGUGGGGAUGACGUCAAGUCAUCAUGGCCCUUACGACCAGGGCUACACACGUGCUACAAUGGCGCAUACAAAGAGAAGCGACCUCGCGAGAGCAAGCGGACCUCAUAAAGUGCGUCGUAGUCCGGAUUGGAGUCUGCAACUCGACUCCAUGAAGUCGGAAUCGCUAGUAAUCGUGGAUCAGAAUGCCACGGUGAAUACGUUCCCGGGCCUUGUACACACCGCCCGUCACACCAUGGGAGUGGGUUGCAAAAGAAGUAGGUAGCUUAACCUUCGGGAGGGCGCUUACCACUUUGUGAUUCAUGACUGGGGUGAAGUCGUAACAAGGUAACCGUAGGGGAACCUGCGGUUGGAUCACCU
rnacentral:rRNA from 13 species